rnacentral:rRNA from 1 species
GUAGGGAAUCUUCCACAAUGGACGAAAGUCUGACGGAGCAACGCCGCGUGAGUGAAGAAGGUUUUCGGAUCGUAAAGCUCUUUCGUUAGGGACGAACGUGCUCUUUGUGAAUAAUGAGGAGUAAUGACGGUACCUAAAUAAGAAGCCACGGCUAACUACGUGCCAGCAGCCGCGGUAAUACGUAGGUGGCAAGCGUUGUCCGGUAUUAUUGGGCGUAAAGCGCGCGCAGGCGGGAUAUCAAGUCUGUCUUAUAAGUGCGAGGCUCAACCUCGUGAGGGGACAGAAACUGUUAGUCUUGAGUGUCGGAGAGGAAAGUGGAAUUCCAAGUGUAGCGGUGAAAUGCGUAGAGAUUUGGAAGAACACCAGUGGCGAAGGCGACUUUCUGGACGGUGUCUGUCGCUGAGGCGCGAAAGCUAGGGGAGCGAACGGGAUUAGAAACCCGAGUAGUCC